CAGCUCCGGUGCUGAUCCCGACACGGGUUUGUCGGCAGAGCCCGGGGCAGGCGACGGCGACUAGUGGCGUGCGCGAACGAGCGGCAGAGAAGAGACCAGCGGGCCGCGCCCGCAAUGAGACACGAAGCCCCCAUGCAGAUGGCAUCUACUCAAGAUUCCAAAUAUGGACAGAAAGAUACAUCUGAUCAGAACUUUGAUUACAUGUUCAAACUGCUCAUUAUCGGCAACAGCAGCGUUGGGAAAACCUCAUUUUUGUUCCGUUAUGCUGAUGAUUCCUUUACAUCUGCAUUCGUAAGCACAGUUGGGAUUGAUUUCAAAGUAAAAACAGUUUUCAAAAAUGAAAAAAGAAUUAAGCUACAGAUUUGGGACACAGCAGGUCAAGAGAGGUACAGAACGAUUACUACAGCUUACUACCGGGGUGCAAUGGGCUUCAUUUUAAUGUACGACAUCACAAAUGAAGAAUCUUUCAAUGCUGUGCAGGAUUGGUCAACUCAAAUCAAAACAUACUCUUGGGAUAAUGCUCAGGUUAUUUUGGUUGGUAACAAAUGUGACAUGGAAGAUGAACGAGUGAUCUUCACAGAGAGAGGCAAACACUUAGCAGAGCAACUUGGAUUUGAAUUUUUUGAAACAAGUGCAAAGGAUAACAUUAAUGUCAAGCAGACAUUUGAACGACUCGUGGAUAUCAUCUGUGACAAGAUGUCAGAGAGUCUGGAUAUGGAUCCCACCAUUGCUGCCAGCACGCAGAACACACGGCUAAAGGACACCCCUCCUCCACAGCAGCCCAAUUGUGGCUGUUAGUGCAGCUAUCAGCAAAGGCAGCUUCAGUGUGUUCUGUUGCCAAUAGAGUCUUUAUUAAUGGUCUAUAUACCUUUAUUUAUAUUGUCUUAUUAAUUUAUUUGGUAGAAAAGUCUUUUCUCGACCAGCAGCUGGUUGAGUAUGCAUAUGGGGAUGGAAAACUAAACUUUUUCAUUUGAAAGAAUGAUCCAUUUUUCAGCAUCUGGAUUUUGCAUGCAGGAUAGGUGUUAGUUCCUCUUUCCUUUUUACUGUUUUGUGUUAUAUUUACUUCAGCUGGUGCCGUGUCCUCAGACCACAUUUGCCUGAAAGUGACCCUUGCUUCACCAGUUUCAACUUACAUAAUCGAAUUCUUAGGGUUGUGGCCAUGGUAUUUUAGAAUAAGUUUCCUGGUACCACUUCUACUUCCUCCUAACUGAAAAUCAGUUUAGAAAUAUUUCUUUAGUGAGACAGUUCCUCUUUUUGUCCAGAUCAUUUGUACAAAGACACUUACUGGGGCCCAUUGCCUUGGCAAAUCUGUACUCAUUACAUAAUUAUACAUUGUGGCUGAUUGGAGAUUGAUGAAAUUAGAAGUUAGUUCCUGGACCCAAAGCCACCAAAUUUAGCUGUGAAUUUCCAAGUGGAUAUGGCUAUUCAGUAUAGACCCUCAGACAUACUAAGUACUUCAGUCUUUCUGGACAGCUAGUAUGUUUGCAUUUCCAUGGGAGCUCCAAGUCUAACAAUAGCUUUCUGAAGCUUGAAUUAAUUUGUUGUUCCAUCUUUAUGGAGAUCCCAGCAUUACCUGCCCUAGUAGUGGAAGACUGACCAGUUCUUUCCUUUUCUACAUGCUUGAGGUAGAAGAGGAAAUUACCCUUGACAAAGCCAAAUUCAUCAUGUUCAAUUGUUCAUAGCCAAAAGCUGUCCUGAGGUGUUGCUGUCAAACCUGCAUAGUCAAACUUUCAGAAAUACCAUCUUCCAUUCAGCCAAUGAGACAAUCACCAUCACCACACUAACUACAAACACCUGUAUUUUACUCAGAUCUAUGGAGGAAGUGGAGUUUGACCUCAUUUUCACUUUGAUGGGGAUAUUUAUUUCAACAAGAAAAUCAGAAUUUUACAAAGAUCUAUAAACUUUAGGAGUAAUAAAGAUUUGUGAACAUUUCUGAUGUUAGUUGUAAGACCAGCAAAAGACUGUGAAGAUACGAGAAUAAACAUAUACAAAUUCUUUUUUUAGUAAAAGUGCUUUUAAAAGUCAUAUUUCACAGGUUUUAAAAGUGCUCCCCUAAUAACUGGUGUCAGUUUUUUACAUCUGUGCGCUGGAGUACUUUGGACAACUACUUUACUUAGCACUGCAGUGACAUUUUUAAACUGAACAGUAUAAUUGAGAAUAUAUUAACUAAUAUAUUAAUUAGUAAGAACUUAGGACAAGGCUGACAUUUCUUGAACUGUCUGCAAUGGGAAAAAUCAGAAGAUAAAUUAAAAACAAAAAGAAGCAACAUGAGGUACUGCUCACAAUUGCAAAGAAAUCACUUAUUUUUCAAGGUCAUUUCUGUAACUCUUGAAACACAUGAAGCUGGUCACUUUUAUUUUACUGAUUAAGUAGACUACAUGUACAUUGCCACAGUGAAAAUUUCUUCCAAACAAAGUAUAUAAGCACGUGUAAAAUGGAUAUGCAUAUAGUAUGCAACUACACUGAUUGCCUGAUCCCUGAAGGGAUCCUACAUGAAAGCUAGAGAGGGACUUUUUAUAAGG